rnacentral:rRNA from 1 species
CGUAACAAGGUAGCUGUAGGUGAACCU